AUUGAACGCUGGCGGCAGGCCUAACACAUGCAAGUCGGGCGAGCGGAGGACGGGUGAGUAAUGUAUGGGGACUGCCUGAUGGCGGGGGAUACCUACUGGAAACGGUAGCUAAUACCGCAUACUAUCGGAUAACCCAUAUAGGAUUAGCUAGUAGGUGAGGUAAUGGCUCACCUAGGCGACGAUCCCUAGCUGGUCUGAGAGGAGGAUCAGCCACACUGGGACUGAGACACGGCCCAGACUCCUACGGAGGCAGCAGUGGGGAAUAUUGCACAAUGGGCCCAAGCCUGAUACAGCCAUGCCGCGUGUAUGAAGAAGGCCCUAGGGUUGUAAAGUACUUUCAGUCGGGAGGCGUUACCGACAGAAGAAGCACCGGCUAACUCCGUGCCAGCAGACGCGGUAAUUC
rnacentral:rRNA from 1 species